UCGCAAUCAUAUAUCGUCUUUGGCACUUUUCGCAAAUGUUCCUUGCAACAAUAUGCCAUCGUUUGGCAUUAAAAAUGUUAAUUGCGAAUGCAGUAGAAGAUAGUAAAAACGAAGAAUGAAGAUAUUCGAGCAAAACGCAAUACACUUAGCUUGAAAAGCAGUAAUAUCUUGAAAAAUAACGAGGGAGACGUUCUCGUCUGUCAAAUGCAAGAAAAAUUAUCGACGAAGUAGAACCAUUAAAAUUGACGACGCCUAUGUUUUGUUACUAACAAUCCUGAAAUUGCUAAAGUCAAUCAUCAUUCUCAUAAUUGAAUUUUCUAGCAGCUGUUUAUAUUCUUGUACAAUGUAGCGGCGUAUCCACUGUAUCCGUUUACUCUCAUUUCGAUUGUUUUUCUAAUUUUUCUUUAUUUUUAUCUAGCAUUUUGCAUUCGAUGUGUCUUAGGCACCUAAGAUCCUGAACUCGAAAUCUACACUGGCUUUUGUUGAGAUAAAUGUCAUGUUGGUAUGAUCGCUAGUUCCUACAUCCAGUGUUAGAACAACUGCUUUGCGAUUCUCUUCUGUUUUUCCCCAUCCGUCACGUCUUUUUUAUCUGAGUUUUCGCUGUGUGUAAAUGGCUGUACAAGGUGUUGAAGUACACAGGAUACACAGGUGUGAAGUACACAGUACAAUGAAGUACACAGGAUACAACAGGAUAAUCUGUAUGAAUCAAUUGAAUUUCAAAACCCAAACCAAUGUAAUAACAGCUUUAAACAGCAUCUGAAAAACGAUAAGGUCCAAGAAAACAACUUGCGAUUAAAAGAGUCGUAUAUCGAAAAAUUCAAGGGUUUAUUAUAAAUUAAUAUAUAAAGAUUACUCUGAACAUUUUUCAAUGAUUUUCUAUGCAAUAAUAUAAUAAUUCUAUGUAAUAACUUUCUCUGUUUUCGUUUUCAUUAUUUCGAUUCUUUUUUAUUUCCACAGUUCAAUAAUCUCGCUGUUCAUUUGAUUCGCAUUUAUUUUGCGAAAGACGAUAUAAAUAUUUUCUCCCACGUACUUAACAAAGGAAGGUUAUAGAUAUGCACUUAAUUUAAAGAAAUGGUGAAAAAUUAUGAGAUUUAGUCUAAGUGCAUCCUUUACUGGCUUUACUGAACUACGCAAUUAUCGUGUACACCAAUAAAUGGCAUCAAAUGCACAUGUUAUACAUUAUUUGACAUACUCUAUUGUGAAUUAUCCUUCGAAGGCUUUGCUAUAUUGUUUUAUCAAAAGAAUUUAGAGUGACUUGUGUGCAACUAUCUACCCUAUUCUAUAAAUUAUUUCAAGAAAUACCAUGAACCAUACAGGUCUUCGUUAAGGCCUUAACAGAGAAAACUAUUACUCUUGAAGACGAAGCUUCUGACACGAUAGAGAAUGUUAAAGCAAGGAACUUUUAAAACCCUGUGCAUUAAGUUUAGAGACAAAUCAUUGAGAAAGUGUUCAGAGUAGUUUACUUCCAAUCACCUUGACUUGAAAUCUGAACAAACUGCUACCUACUUCUUCAAAUUUAUAUUUUACACAAAAUGAACAUAAUGAGGAAAUUAAUUUUGAAUAUCAAAGAUGAAACAAAGGAGAAACAAUGGUUUGUAAAUGAAGAUGAAGAUGAAGCAAUGCUAACUUGUUCAAAAAGUAGAAAGAAUGUAAGCGAACUACCUAUGCAGAGUGUUACAGUCCAUUCAGCCACAAGAUUUAAAUAUUCAACACAAAGAAGAUGUUGAUGCUAUUCUUGAAUAUGUGCCUCAAUUUAGUCUAUUGCGCCAACAAAAUGUUCUUCCAAAUAUGAAGGAUGAAAAUGUAUUUAGGGAAAAUACACCAUCACCACCACGUUACAGGACACCUCCAAGAGGAAUGAUUUUAAAUUCAGAAGAAGCAAAAGUGUUUAUUUUACUAAAACAUUACGGAUUAGGUCAAUACCUAAAUUCCUCGUUCAAGAAGUUGACAUUGAUUUGUUUAUGACUUUAACUAAUGAAAUGAACUAAUGAACUAAUUGAGAUUGGUAUAAAAAAUGAAGCUGACAGAAAAGCUAUGUAAAUUGUGAUAAAUAGUUCAUAAAAAAUCGGUGGUACAAAAAGAAUUUUUUAUCUUUUAUUAAUUAUAUCUAACUAUGUAUUAUUAUUUUAUUUGUUAUAUACUAAAGCUGCUCUAAUGUAUGAAUGUAAAAAUAUAAUAUGUUAUGUUAUAGCAUAUUGGUAUUAUUUUUUAUACUAACUUAGUACAGUUAAGAACACAUAUGAUACAUUUACAUACGAAAUGGCUGUAAAAUUGUUGUAUUCUUGAUGAGCGAUAAUAAUUUAUUAAUAAAUACACUUUUUUGCUUUAGAA